ACACUUACCAGGCAGGGGAGAUACCAUGGUGAUGAAGGUGGUUUUCCCAGGGCGAGGCUUAUCCACUGCAUUCCGGAUGUGCUGACCCCUGCGAUUUCCCCACAUGUGGGAAACUCGACUGUAUAAUUUGUAGUAGUGGGGGACUGUGCUCAUGCUUUCCCCUG
rnacentral:snRNA from 1 species